CGUUAAUAUAUGACCCGAUUAGCAGCUUCCGGGAAACCAAAGUUUUUCGUUUCCGGGGGAAGUAUGGUUGCAAAGCUGAAACUUAAAGGAAUUGACGGAAGGGCACCACCAGGAGUGGAGCCUGCGGCUUAAUUUGACUCAACACGGGAAAACUCACCCGGCCCGGACACCGUAAGGAUUGACAGACUGAGAGCUCUUUCUUAAUUCGGUGGGUGGUGGUGCAUGGCCGUUCUUAGUUGGUGGAGCGAUUUGUCUGGUUAAUUCCGAUAACGAACGAGACUCUGGCCUAUUAAAUAGACGAUAUAUUUAAAAGUAUAUCGCGCUUCUUAGAGGGACAAGCGGCGUCUAGCCGCAUGAAAUAGAGCAAUAACAGGUCUGUGAUGCCCUUAGAUGUCCGGGGCUGCACGCGCGCUACACUGAAAGAAUCAGUGUGCGUUACGCCUAGUUCGGAAGAACCGGGUAACCCAAGUAAAUUCUUUCGUGCUUGGGAUAGGGAAUUGCAAUUAUUUCCCUUAAACGAGGAAUUCCCAGUAAAUGCGGGUCAUAAGCUCGCGUUGAUUACG
rnacentral:rRNA from 1 species